rnacentral:rRNA from 1 species
CUCCAUAGAUUAGAGAUACUGGAAUGUUCUCUAGUCGAAAGCUCCGGCGCCUUAGGAUGGAUCUGCGGUCGAUUAGGUUGUUGUUGGGGUAACGGCCCAACAAGCCUGUAAUCGAUACGGGUUGUGGGAGCAAGAGCCCGGAGAUGGAAUCUGAGACACGAUUCCAGGCCCUACGGGGCGCAGCAGGCGCGAAAACUUUACAAUGCAGGAAACUGUGAUAAGGGAACCCCGAGUGCCCGUAUACGCGGGCUGUCCAGGUGUUUAAAACGCAUCUGAAGAAAGGGCCGGGCAAGACCGGUGCCAGCCGCCGCGGUAAUACCGGCGGCUCGAGUGGUGGCCACUAUUAUUGGGCUUAAAGCGUCCGUAGCUGGACCCUUAAGUCUCUUGGGAAAUCCGCCGGCUUAACCGGCGGGCGUCUAGGAGAUACUGGGGGUCUAGGGACCGGGAGAGGUGAGAGGUACUCCGGGGGUAGGAGUGAAAUCCUGUAAUCCCUGGGGGACCACCGAUGGCGAAGGCAUCUCACCAGAACGGCUCCGACAGUGAGGGACGAAAGCUGGGGGAGCGAACCGGAUUAGAUACCCGGGUAGUCCCAGCCGUAAACUAUGCGCGUUAGGUGUACCGGUGACCACGAGUCACUGGGGUGCCGAAGGGAAACCUAGAAACGUGCCGCCUGGGAAGUACGGUCGCAAGGCUGAAACUUAAAGGAAUUGGCGGGGGAGCACCCAACGGCGUGGAGCCUGCGGUUUAAUUGGACUCAACGCCGGAAAUCUCACCGGAUAAGACAGCGGAAUGAUAACCGGGCUGAAGACUCUGUUUGACCAGCUGAGAGGAGGUGCAUGGCCGUCGUCAGUUCGUACUGUGAAGCAUCCUGUUAAGUCAGGCAACGAGCGAGACCCACGCCAACAGUUGCUAGCUUGUUCUCCGGAAUGAAGAGGACACUGUUGGGACCGCCUCUGCUAAAGAGGAGGAAGGAAUGGGCAACGGUAGGUG